GACGAACGCUGGCGGCGUGCCUAAUACAUGCAAGUCGAACGCAGUGGGGACGGGUUAGUAACACGUGGGUAACCUCCCAUAAGAGGGGAUAACACUUGGAAACAGGUGCUAAACCGAUACUGAUGGAUGGACCCGCGGUGCAUUAGCUGGUUGGUGAGGUAACGGCGCACCAAGGCCACGAUGCAUAGCCGACGUGAGAGGGGGAUCGGCCACGAUGGGACUGAGAGACGGCCCAGACGACUACGGGGGGCGGCAGUAGGGAAGAUUCGGCAAUGGACGGAAGUAUGACCGAGCAACGCCGCGUGGGUGAAGAAGGUUGUCGGAUCGUAAAAAUCUGUUGUUAGAGAAGCGGUAUCUAACCAGAAAGCAACGGCUAACUACGUGGCAGCCGCCGCGGUAAUAAUUC
rnacentral:rRNA from 1 species